CCCGCAGAGCCUGGCCCUUUAAGGGCCUCCGAGGAGCUAUAUAAUAAGGUCCACCUUGGAGGCCUGAGUGCCUUUCUGCAGCCCCAGGAGGGCGGGGAGGGUGCAGGAGGUCAUCGUGGGGCUGGAGCGGCUGGCCUUCGCCUUCGAGAAGGAGGUGGAGACGCAGAAGGGCACUGGGCUUCUGAUUUCCAGGCCAUGGACAGUGAGUGCUGCCGGGACCCCUAGUCCGCCCCCAGCUUCCUCUCAGCUGCUCACCAGAGAGGGGACUGCAACAAUAAGGAACGUCCGUUCCUCCACGUGAAGCCGGCCUUCAAGACCCAGCACUGUCCGUGGUACGACCGAGGUUUCUGCAAGCACGGUCCACUGUGUUAAGUACCGACAUGUCCGCAGGACAAAGUGUACUAACUACUUAAAGCUGGCUUCUGCCCGGAAGGACCCAGGUACCAAUUUGCACACUUGUCAAGCAGCCCCUGGGGUCCGUACUUCCUCCUGCCUGGGAACACCGCGGGGCCCCCUCCCUGACAAGAGUGCCUGCCUCCUCAUCCUCAGACGAGGCCCCAUGAGCCGGGGGCCGCCCACUGCCUGGGGCUCAGGUGCUGGAGCAGGCCAUGCUACAGGUGUUGAAAAAUGAGCUGUUAUGCCAGUAAGUGUCAACUGGUAGGAUUCAUUAAAACACAAGACCCCACGUUGGUCUGGGGAACUGGAGGACCUUCUGUAGUGAAGAUGCUGGAAGGCCGUGCUGCCCGCUAACCAGCACAGAGGAGGCCGAAGCAGCCUGCUUCCCGCUUCCUCUUCUCCUCUAAGUGAGCGAGCUGCUGAAGACACAGCAGGAGUGGGGGCUCACUGUCCGUGGCAGCAACGAGUUAGUCGUAGAGCAGGGAAGUGCAAUGCCCGCACGGCCAGCUUGAGGGUGCAGCCUGCUCGGCUCCCCAUGGCCGCAUGCACACAGGCACGCCGCUCCCGGGCACUUGCGCUGCACCCAGCCUGAGCUACUGCUGUAAACUGGCGAUUAAAUCAAGUUUCUUUUGCACGACAGCUGCUUCCCUGGACGGCUUCCUUAAAUUCAGGAUUUGAUACUGUGCUCGUCUUACGUGAGGGAUCACGGGGGCAGGGAGGGGAGGUAGACGGUACCAACGAGGCUUGGCCCAGGAGGUGAGGAAGUGACGUGGGGCAGCGAGCACCAUGUGAUCUACAUCAUCGUCUAAGUCAGCCACCUGGGCAGCCUAACCCAUGGGGCGAGGCUGGGGGAGGCCAGGCCAGGCCCGCUGGAGGAAGAGAAGAGGGAUGGUGUGGAGGGACCAGGCCCGCCGGUCUUGCAGACACAGGCAGCGGCCUUAUCCCGCUUGGUGGAAGGGGAGAGGGCGGGGGGCAAGACCAUCCAAGAGCACGCUGGCCCAGCAGACAGCUCCUCCCUGGGCGGGUAUGUGACACAUGGCACGCAGCCAGACCACCAACCUUCUCAAGCCUGCACCCUCUCUCCGGGGGAAUGUGACGGCCGCUUUGGCCUCACUGGGUGGUUGUGAGCAGGCGGCAGGUGAAGAAUGGUGCUUGGCUGACGAAAGCAAGCGCCCAGGUGGUAGCUGAAGUUUGGCUGGAUGGAGGUGGGGCCUCUUGCUGGAUUCCAGUCAGGAUGUGGACGCAGGACGAGGCCACA
ensembl:lncRNA